AUCCUUCCCCCACUUUGGCGGCUGGGGUAAAAACUACUUCUCCAAAAGGAUUUGCUAAGAGUCAGCCUCCGCAGCCACCACCAACCCCCCAGGCAAUUACAAAAUCAGCUUGUGGCAACUGUUUUCAUUGUUUUUCAUGUCAUCCUUGCAGUUGUUCUUCGUGUCACCCUUGUAGUUGCUCUUCGUGUUGCCCAUCUUCUUGUCGUCCUUGCAGUUGUUCUUCAUGUCACCCUUGCAGUUGUUCUUCGUGUUGUCCAUCUUCAUGUCAUCCUUGCAGUUGUUCUUCGUGUCACCCUUGUAGUUGCUCUUCGUGUUGCCCAUCUUCUUGUCGUCCUUGCAGUUGUUCUUCAUGUCACCCUUGCAGUUGUUCUUCGUGUUGUCCAUC
rnacentral:misc_RNA from 1 species